AAAUGAAUAGACGGGGGCCCGCACAAGCAGUGGAGUAUGUGGUUUAAUUCGAAGCAACGCGAAGAACCUUACCAGGGCUUGACAUAUACUUGAAUAUAGUAGAGAUACUAUAGCUUUUCGGAGCAAGUAAACAGGUGGUGCAUGGUUGUCGUCAGCUCGUGUCGUGAGAUGUUGGGUUAAGUCCCGCAACGAGCGCAACCCCUAUUGUUAGUUGCCAGCAGGUGAAGCUGGGCACUCUAGCGAGACUGCCGUAGAUAAUACGGAGGAAGGUGGGGACGACGUCAAAUCAUCAUGCCCUAUAUGUCCUGGGCUACACACGUACUACAAUGGCCGUAACAGAGGGAAGCGAAAUAGUGAUAUGGAGCGAAACCCAAAAAGCGGUCUCAGUUCGGAUUGAAGGCUGAAAUUCGCCUUCAUGAAGAUGGAAUUGCUAGUAAUGGCAGGUCAGCAUACUGCCGUGAAUACGUUCCCGGGCCUUGUACACACCGCCCGU
rnacentral:rRNA from 1 species